rnacentral:piRNA from 1 species
UACAUCAAGAUCAUUGUCCCAGAAGGGUGA